GGCAACGGAUGUGCCUGUGACCAGGUGGCAUCAUUGCUGGAGAUGAAAGCAGUUCCUGAUACCAACAAAGCCAGAUUAGGUUAUAUCAAAAGCAGGCUGAUUGGGAAGCUGCACUCAGGGAAGACUCUCUCAAGGAAGGGGUGCCCAGCUCCUGGGCUGGAAAGUUCCUGGAUGGGGCAGGGUAUUCCAGGAAGUGACUGAGGGAUGCUGGGAGAACCUGGAGGCAUGGCUGCUUUGAUAGCCUCAUCUUCAGACUUCUGGCUCAGGGAAUGAGAGACUUUUCCGCGAAGCAGGAGUUAGGAAGCACUUGCCUACCACAUCCUUGCAAAGCUCUGCAGACACUUUCUUCCAUGGGCUGCUUGUCCGCAGACUGGACAGCGUGCUGUCAGCAGUUUAGACAAAGACAGCUUCUCGCCCAGUGGCUUGCGUGCCACAUUUGAAGCGAUUCCAUAUGGAGUUCUCGACGCUCAUCACCUUCUUUGAAGAAUGGGGGUGCUGCCAGGAACAGUCGCGUCUCACUGUCAUGAAGGCCUUUUAUUAAUAAAAUAUUGUUAAAAUGCUACAUUCUGUGGCUCUCUGAGGUUUCUGAAGACCACCUGUCUCUAUACAGUAUAUCUGAAUAGGCAAAUGCUGCUGUUUCUAGCUACCCAC
ensembl:lncRNA